GCGUCAAAGAUUGUAAAUUUGAAAGUGGGUGCUCUUGAUUUUCUUCUCCGUCAUGAAGGAGCUCACCCACCACUUGCAACUUACAACAUUCUCCAACUUCCAGAUGUUUCAAGUUUUUGAGGAAACCUUGUGGAGGCUGACCCUUGCAUAAGGCUUCCAACCCAUCCAUAUCUUCCAUAAAUAAUGUCUCCAAAUGAGUGAAUGCUGAAGUUGGCCCAUUCUUUGUUGUAUCAACCAAGCAUUCAAGAUCCUGAAUUUCUCUAAGUUCAAGUUGUUUUGAAGUUUUGAAUGAUUCCUUGAAUGCUGAUAGUCGAACACCCUAAUUGUAAUUCACAUCAUCAUUAAAAACACAUUUUAUAUAUCAAUUAGCAAUCAAUAAUUGACAUACAAACAUAAAUAGUUAAAAUUUCUUUUAAAUCAAUAUUGUUAUCUACGGUAAAUACCAUCAAUGCAGAAUUAAACAAAUGGCAAACAACUCAAAGUAAUCAAACUCAUAAAUUACCUACUUUAAUUACUUGGAAGGCUGGAAAUAAAAAAAAAAAAAAUAGACAGUUAAUGAAAAUGUUACAUCUACAUGGUUUCUUUAAUUUGUAUUAAGUAAGAAACUAGAAAACAAUUCAUUUGUGUAGUAAAAAAAAUGCAUUUGUUGAUUACAAAUAAACCUAUAAUUGUGCAUAUCAAUGGCAUAGUGUAGUAGAGAUUCGGUGCCAUGACCCUCUAAAAUAGUAAUUUUUUAAUUUAGAGUCAUUAUAAUUUAUAAAAUUUUAAAUUAUUAAUGGUAAAAUUAUACUUUAACUCCAAAAAUAAUAAAAUUUGAUUUAAUUCUUUAAAAAUUAUAAAGAUAUAAACUACUAAAUUAAUAAAAUUUUACUUUUAUUAUCAUAAAAAUAUAUAAUUAAUUCUACUAAAAAAUUUCAGGCUGCUCCACUCUGCAUAUGGAUAUGAUUAAUUUUGUUUUAUAUUUUAACCCUGCUUUUAGCAAAAGUUAAAAGAAUGAGAUUGAAAAAGAAAAGAAAGAUAUUUUAUAAUGAAGAAAAACUCAGUAAAAUUAUAAUAAAGUUGUAAAUUAAUAUAUAUUAUCAAAGUUGUUAAUGUCCUAAUUGUUUUUAUGUAAAAAAAGAAAAGAAAAAAAAAGAGCUAAUGAUAUUUUUGAACCACCAAUAAAUAUUAUUUUUAUAUUAUUUACUUCCAUACACAUAGCAGUGCCAAUUGUAGUAUGGUUAAAAUAUCUUAAACAUUUUGCUGUAAAAUCAAUAUGAAAACUGAGUUAUGAAAAGUUAUAAAUAAAUAAAAUUCAAUAAUGUAUAAUUUGUAAGGGAGAAAAAGAACGUACCUUUAUGGAAGCUUUCUUAGCUUCUAAAUGAACAACCAAAUCAGUUAAUAGAGGGCAUCUUUUCACUGAAAAGGACGAUAACGAUCUCAAGAAUUGCUGGUGUUGGAGCAUACUGUCAUUUCCCACCCUGUCUUUGGCAACUCUAAACACUUGUUUUAAUUGAGAGCAAGCCUCUACGUUAAGAGUCAAACCCUGAAGCCCUUGUGGUGACAUCGACGUUGGAAAAAUAUACUCCAAACCAUAACAAUUUGAUAUGCUGACGUCUCCUAACUCUGGGAAGCACAAAGAAUUAUGAGAAUUGAUGGUUGGUGAUAUUUCUCCCUCGUCGCCUUCCAAUUCUGUCACUAUUUGCUUCAUUUCAUCACAGUAGCUUAUGUCAAGACGUUUCAAUUGUACUAGACUUUGAGCAAGAGAAAGUGAAAAGAGUGAUUUCAAACGUGGGAACUUUUUUAUAGUCAAAACAACUAAGCUUUCAAGUCUUACAUGUUGGGUCGGAAAAAUAUACUCCAAACCAUCACAAGUAGAUAUGUAGAGUUUUGUUAACUUUGGGAAGGACAAAGAAGUAUGAGAAUUGAUAGUAUGUGAUAUUUCUCCCUUGUCACCUUCUAAUUCUGUCACUGUUUGCUUCAACUCAGGACAAUAGAUUAUCUCAAGUUUUUCCAAGAGUACGAGACUUUGAGCAAGAGAAAGUGAAAAGAGUGAUUUCAAACGUGGGCAGUGUAGUAUAGUCAAUUCAACUAAGCUUUCAAGUCUUACAUGUUGGGUUGGCAAUUCCCAUAUGCAACUCAAAUCUGGCAACCUUUGAAGACGUAAAAUCUUCAAAUUUGAAAGGAGUGGAGCUUCAUUUUCCUCCACCUCCUCCAUUUGAAAUACCACUUUUAGAUUCUUGCAGUAAUCGAUUCUCACUAGUUUUAGAUUUCGUAAGAUCAUUGAUACCGACACCUUUGGUUGUGUUUUAUUAGUCAAGCAUUCUACAUACUCAUCCUUGAUUUUUGACACUUCAACAGACUCUAAAUUCCCAAGUAAUUGGGAAAAUGCAUUGUAAGGAAACACUUCCUCAAUUUUCAAGGAUCUUGUUGUGUCAAUAGUAUAACCAAAACCGGACAUUUCUCAGUAACCAAAAUUUAUACUAAAACAGUUUAUGCCAAUUUUGUAAUUUUCUAAUUCAGGAAACUCGAAGUCUAGUGGACAAUGUAGAGAAUGUACCUCAACUGAUAGUCUCCUUAAUUUGGUCAAAAAUUUUAUCUCGAGAAAGAUAUCAUUACUUAUACCCGAUCUUGGUAGAUACAACUCCUCUAACUGAGACAACCUUCGAAUAACUUUAGAUUGAAAUCUCCCAGAACACGCACAAUUGAUUAGAUCCAAUAUCUUUAGAUUUUCUAACAUCUCUAAUUCAUCUGCAAGAUCCUCGUACACCCAACCAUGUAAACUCAGGAUCUCAAGUGUUGUUAGGUUUCCAAGAAACGAAUAGUGCGCAAAAUUGUCCAAAUGCAGAGCACGGAGUUUUGGUAGGAACGUAAGAGCAUACAAGGAAAUAACCCCCGUACCAUAUACAGCUGUAAGAUUUAAAACUUUUAGUUCUGUCAUUCCUAAAAAACAUGUACCUUGUAUAUCGCAGUUAUUGAGCAAUAGGAUCUCAAGCUUUGAAUGCAUCAAUCUAUCAGGAAAUUUUUUCUUUUCACUGCCCAAUAAUGAGAUUGCUUUACUAGAUUCUGAGCUUUUAUUUAGUGUUUCCAAUCUAGAAUUGAUCAUAAAACUACUUUCUUCUUCUGAUGCAAUCCAUAGAGCAACAUCACGAACUAUAUCAUGUAACUUAACGUACCUAAUCAAGCCAAAAUAAAAGAGGAUGCAUUGAAUAAUAUUUUAUUAUUAUACAAUUUUAAGAAGAAUAAAAGAUAAAAAAGAAUGUAGAAAAAGGAACAAUAGGAAGAAAAAUUUUAAUAAAACAAAGAGGUGGAGGAAACUAUCAAAUUUAACUAUAGUAUACAUCUUAAUCAAAUUUUACAUUAUAUGAAUUAGACUUAAUAUAAUAUUUGGUAUUUAACUUGUCAUUUUUUCCUAACACUUUUCAUAAUUUAAUACCUAAACUUUUUUCUUUUUCUUUUUUGUAUGUUUAUGAGUAAGAUUUACUGAAUGUAAGACUAAAGUUAAAGUAGACUUCUGGAUUUAUGUUUUAUUUAUCAUUAAAAUAUUUCGAAUAUUUUUAUAUGUUAAUAUUUUAAUAGAUAAUUAAUAUUUUUAUAAAAAUAUUUUUAUCUUGUUAUACUUUUAUAUACUCUUCAAAAUGAAAGUAUAAUAGCUAAAUAACAUCAUUUGGGAAUCAAACACGACGAAUAAAUUUAUAUAAAAAUCUCAUAUCCAUCCACCAAUAAUUAUUUACUAAAAUAAAUUUAUAAUAUAUUUUUAAAAUAAAAUAUUUUCUUUCACCUACGGGAGUGACAAAAUCCCAAUCAUUUAUAAACAAAUGAUAUUUUUCAAGUUCAAGAAAUGGAGAGUCUAAAAUUGCUCGAGUUUGGCUAAGCUUGUGAACUUAGCAAGAGAACUCUAUCUAGUAUGUAUAUAUCAUUCAUCCUUUUAAGUUGUGUUUGUCUUAAAACAACUUUGAGAAAAAUGGAUUGAUUUUCUGAAAAAAUUGAUAUUUUUUAGUAUUUAAAUAAUUUUGCAUAAAAUAUUUUUUAUUUGAAUUUUCUUUCUAAAAUCAUUUUUCAGUGAAAUAAACCCAAGAUAAAUUAUAUUUGAUACAAAACAUUAUGGAAACACAUUUUUUUAAAAUCAAAAAUUAUUUUUAAUAAGAUAAUAUUUUGUAAUAAAUAAUAUAUUAUAAUAAGCAUUUUACUAUUUAAGGGCCGGGAUACCUAUCCAAUUUUAUUCCACAAGCCUAAAAGCUCGCCCAAUAUAUAGGUUUGAGAAACAAAUAGACCUAUUUAAAAUAUAGGUUGGGCCUGAACUUCAUCAUUCAAGGCUCGAUCCCAUCUAAUUUUAUACUUUUGUAAUAUAAUUUUAUUUUAUUUUUAUAUAUUAUAUAAUGUAAAUCACAUAAAAUAGAAUAUAUAAUAAUAUAAUACUACGAAAAUAUUAAAAUAUGUUAAGUUAUCUAUGUUUAAAAUUUUACUAAUAAAAAGAUCUAGAAUAUUAAAUAUUAAAUAUUAUCGGUAACCUAGAAUGAGCAUUAGUUAGAUAUUUGUAAACAUGGAUAGAUUUGAGUAAAAUUUUAGACCUAUAUUUUAGGCUAAUCUUAGCUUGGCUUGGGCAAAUAUAAAGCUACUAAUAUCAUAGAUAAACCAAAUCCGAACUUAGCCUAACUCAAACUAUAAACACUUUUAAUAAUAAAGAUUUAAUAAUAACAAAUAUCUAAUUAAAACUUAUUUUGAAGUUAUAUAUUGGGGGAAGGGGGAGACAACAAUGAUUAAAUGAAAUGAAAUAGGAUUUAAAUUAACAUUCAUAUUUAUUUUAUUAAAAUAAUCAUAUUUUAUAAUAUAAAAUAUGUAUUACUAAAUAUUUAUAGAUUGUAAUAUAUUUAUUAUCAAAAUAUUAUUAUUUUUCAAUAAAAUAUUAAGAACAUUACUUAAAUUUUAAAAUUAUUAUUAAUGCUAAUUUUUAUCAUUAAAAUAAAACUUAGUAUUAAAUAAUUUUACUAAAAUCAAUUAUAUUAAUAAUUUAUUAUAUGAUUAAAUAUAAAUAUGUAUGUUUAAUAAUAAAAAUUAUAUUAUUUGAGAUUAAUAAUUUAGUAUUUUUAUAAAAAAUAUUUUAUAUUUUCCUAAUAAUAAAAUAUAUUUGCUUAAUAUUUAAAUACAAAUAAGUAUUUUUAAUAUUUUUAUAAAAACAUUUUUAUAAAAAUAAUCUUACUUUGUAUAAAAAACAUAUUUUCCCUAAAACAAACUUUUAAUAUACGCAAAUACCAACUCAAGAAAGUGAUAGUUUAAACGAGAUAUAUAUAUAGCUUUGCCUUGGAAUUUAAGCAUCAUACCUUCUAAAAUCUUCAGCUUGCUUAACAAACCUGAUGAAGCCAAAAUAAAAGUAAAUAGCAUUUUAUUAUUAUAAUACAAUUUUUAGGAGAUGAAAAUAUAAAGAAACUACAAAAAGAACUAAUAAAACAAAAAUAUGAAAUUUAGCUUUUUUAUAUAUAUAUAUAUCUUAAUCAAAAGAUACAAAAGGCUAUUUCUUAGUUUUAGUCUUUAAAGUUAAAUAAGACAUGUAGGUUUAUGUUUUAUAUAUCAUUAAAAUAUUUAAAUUUCUUAUAUGUUAAUAUUAUAAAGAAAAUUAUUUGGUAAGCGGCAGGUGAAGUUUUUAGAUUUUACAAAUAGAAUCGAGUGGUUAACAAGUGUCUUAUAAAAAUAUAAUAAAAUAUUUAAAAAAAUUACAUGUGACAAUUUAGUAAUAAAAAAGUACAUUAGUAAUUUAAAAUUUUUUUAGUUUGGUUAAGCUUGCCUACUUAGCAAGAAAACUCUAUUUAGAAUUCUAAGUCUUGGUAUACCCAAAUACCAAUUAAUGAAAAGGGAUAAGCAUGUAUAGUUUGAAAAUGUAUCAUACCUUCCAACAUCUCCAUCUUCUAGCAAGCAAGAAUCUUUGAGGUAAUCGAUGACUUUCAAGACUUGAAUUCUCAUUUAUUCAAUAGAGUUAACCUUAUCAUAUAAGUUCAAACCCUAUGCAUAUCGCAUCAAGUCUUCCACAUUAAUUAAGUCAUCUUCAGGAUAUAACGCACAGAGUAAGAAACAUGUUUGGGACAUCUUGUCCUUCAAAUGCUCAUAACUGAUCUUAAGAGAAAUGUAGGCAUUUUUCUCUCUCUCUCUGUUUGAAUGCUUGGAAUCUCCAUUAAUCCACUUCUUUCAAGUUUUUUUCGUGCAUCUUUCCACCUAUCAAGAGCUUUACCUUUUAAAGCCUUUGCUAGUGUUACAAUGGCUAAAGGUAAGCCCUUGCAUUCUUUUGCAAUUUUCUUAGCCUCCCCAAUAACACGCGAAUCAGCUUUCUUGAUACCUGCAUUCAUUUCGAACAGAGUCCAUGCUUCACCAUCUUCCAAAACCUUCAGUUGAAUUGUCUCCUCACAUUCCAUAUGUUGACAAACAUUAUAGUUGCGUGUUGUCAAGAUGAUUUUGCAACCCUUUUCAUCUUUAACCAAUGGAAUACCUAUCUUUCUCAAAUCCCCAUCAUCAUUCCACUCCUUCCAUAGAUCAUCGAGGAUUACGAGAAACUUUCCAUUACUCAAUCUACUCCACAACUCUGUUGCUUUGCCGCCUUCAGUGUUCUUGCCAAAUUUCAAGUCUAAGUCAUCUGCAAUUUUGUUUUGUAUUUUUUCAAUGUCUACAGUUUCGGACACAGUGACCAUUAUAACUCGAUCAAAUCCUCUGACUUUACCACUCACGUUUCUGACUAAGGUGGUUUUGCCCACUCCUCCCAUCCCCCACACCCCUAUUUUUUUUACUAUAUCAUCCUUCAAUGCCUCCAUGAUCUUAUUGAAAGCAGCACCUGAAGAUUUUAAAUCCACAUUAUCCUUAGAUGUGACCAAAUCUAAGCUAGGAAGCUUUGCACGAUGGCCGACUCGUUUAAAUUCGGAUUUUUUUACGAGAUCAGCUAUUUCCAAUGUUUUAUUCUCAAUCUCCUGACUUAAUUGAUAUCGCCAACACCAAUUAGGACACAGACAGAAGCAUCUCUUAUUUUCUUCAAUUUCAGAGUCCAAAACUUUUACAUCCUUUAGGGCAUUUUCUGCCUUUGUCGGCCAUUCAUCAACUUGGUCGUAGAUCACUUGAGUUCGAAUCUGCAAUUUAGCCUCCUCAACGUCGUCUUUCACUUGAGUUUCUUUUGCAGCCAAAUCUUGUUGGUUUUGGUGCAGCUCUUGAACUAUCUUAUGAAAACGAAAUAAGUAACGAAUACGACGUUCGAUUGGCUUCACUAAAUAGUCUACCAACAAUGGUGCCACCAAACCAGAAGCAGCACUGAGACCCCACUCCGAACCCAUUGCUGUUAAUCUGAAUUCACAUAACAAAUCUGCUAAGCCUAAGCAAAAUGGUAGAGAAUACAGUUGAGAAUAAUUAUGAAAAGGUUGAGAGUUACCCCUUAAGAUUAUGAUGAAGAUAUACUAUAAUGUGAUGUUUAGAAGGCGCGCUCCUUGCUUCAAAGAAAAUGCUCCAAUUCUAAAUCUGAAAGCAGAGUCGUUGAAGCUGUGAACAAAAGUAUUUACUCCCAAAAAAAAAAAAAAAAGUGUGACAGAUAUAUAUUGAUGAUCAUAUUUUAUUAUUUAAUUUAACAAUACUUUAUAGGAUUCUUAAAAAUUUACAUUUUUAAAUAAUGUUUGCCAUAUAUUGUAAUUUCGGGCUGCCAUGUCACAUUGUGUUAUUGGCUUUUAGAACAAAAUCAUAAAAAUUUGUCCAAGUUAAUAAAGUACCUAAAAACAAUAUCCUAAUUGAAAUUAUUAAUCAAUUUGGUUUUUUUUUACUAAAUUACAUUAUCCAACUAUUAGUAAUUUUUUUGUCACCCAACUAUGAAAAGUUGCAAAACAGUUUUUCAAUCACCAAUUAGUUAAUGGUAGUAUAUUUUAAAUUUGACAUAAUAGCAAAUUUAAUCUUUAACAUUUAUAAAUUAUGUCAAUUUAGUUUUGAUACUAAAUAAUUGAACCCUCAACAUUUACACAUUAUGUAAUUUGGUCUUUUUUUUUUCAAUUUUGUUUUUCUUUAUGAUAUUGAGGGUUAAUUUUAAAAGAAUGAGAAAAUAUGAAAAUUAUUAUCUUAGAUUUUUGGGUGUUUUCAUUUUUUGUAUAGUUGAUAAAUUUGUUUUUUUAACAUUUUAGGUGAAAGGGUCACAAAGAAAAGCAAAACUGUAAAAAAAGAGACUAAUUUACAUAAUGUAUAAAUAUUGAGGAUUAACUUUUUUUUUAGAAUCAAGACUGAAUUCACAUAAUUUAUAUAUGUUGAGGAUUCAAGUUGCUAUUAUGCCAAUUUUAAAAGCUGUCACCGUUAACCAGCUGGUGACCUAAAAAAGACAUAAUUGAAUAGUUAGGUAACCAUUUUGUAACUUUUCAUAGUUAGGUGAACAAAAAAAACACUAUUUUUAUAACUUUUCAUAGUUAAGUGAUCAAAAAUAAAUUUACGAAGAAUUGGGUGCGUAGUAUUAAUUGGCUAAGCAAAGGGAUAAAUCCAUAAUUAAUUCGUUUGAAAAAUGAUAAAUUAAUUAUGUUUUAGCCCUUUGAAAGUAAAUACAGACUUCCCACUACUCCAAUACUUUAGAUGUUUCCUUUCUACGUCUGUCUUAGUAGUCAAUUGCUCCAUAUCUGACCUUAACUGAGUUAUUCUGAGGGAAAAAUAUAUAUAAUUGAAGAUAAAUGAUUUAAUAUUUAUUUUAAUGUCUAAACUACUACUUUUUCUCAUUUUGAUACAUCAAACAUUCUUAGUACUUAAACAUUUUAGUCCUAAGCCUCACGUGGCUAAUUCAGAUAUAUUAUAUAAUUUUAAAAUUAAAAUUAAUUAUUUUAAAUUAAAAUUUUUAAAUUUUUAUUUUUAUUUAAAUAAAAUUUUAAAUUACUUUAAUUAAUGAUAUGGGUUAUAAAUUAACUACUUUAAUUACUAUGCUUAAAAAUUUUAAUUUAAAAUUAAUUACUUUAAUAUAUUUAUUUUAAAUUUAUCUAUGAUUAAUUUAAAUUACUUUUAUUUAUUUUAAUUACUAUGAUUAAUUAUUUAUUUAUUUUAAAUUACUUUAAUUAAUGAUAUGGGUUAUAAAUUAACUACUUUAAUUACUAUGAUUAAUAAUUUUAAUUUAAAAUUAAUUACUUUAAUAUAUUUAUUUUAAAUUUAUCUAUUUGUCUCACUAAAUAAUUUCAUUAAACAUCAAAAUUAUAGACAAUAAGUGAAAGACUUCGUCGGUGGGCAUAGCUGGCUGUCGGCCACACUUUAAAAUGUCUAAUGUGGUAUUCGAACUAUCAAUUUGUGUAUCAUUUGGUACCUGUACAUUCAUAAAAUAUACAAUGUGGUACUUAUACUUUGGAAGUGUUUAACAUAGUACCUAAUAUAUCAAUCUGUGUAUUAUUAUGGUACCUAAAAUUAAAACCUUUAGACCUUAGCAAAUGCUAAACUAACUAAUGAGAAUUCAAUAUGUAAAUUUUGUUCUAAAUCUCCGAUUCUAUGUAGAUGAUACAACAUUAUGUGACAAAAAUAAAUAAAACAAAAAGUAAAUAACUAAACCUAAACAACAUGAGUUCAACUUUACAAAAACCAUCGAACUUUAACUUAAAAUUUCUUCAACUUUUUAAAUACCCUAGAAUUUUCCAAAUAUUUUCAAAAUUUAUACAAGCCAAAAUUUUUCAAAAAUUAUGUCCCUUACUUCUUAUUGAACUUGAAUGAGAGGUUGAAUAACUUCAUUUCGACUACCAUUUUUUAUUUAUUAUUUAUCUCUUCAUAUAAUAUUAUAUUAUCCAUGUGAAAUUGAUGAUUUGAAAAAAAAAAUUCAUGUGUUGGUUUAGUAAUUACCACGGGUGUUGACUCUAUGUAUCAUAAUAAUAUACAAAUCAAUAGUUCAGAUACCAUAUUGAACAUUUCAAAGACCACUAUAGUAAACGAAAAUAAAGUACAGAGGCUUAAUUGGACAUUUUGAAAGUUUAGGGGUCACAUUAGAACAAACCCUAAAGUAUAAGGGCCUUUGAUGAAUUAUCCCUUUUUUGAAUUUAAUACUAAUUCUUAUUUUGGUAAUGGGUCGUUUAAGGGAUCUCAAGUGAGGCUUUGAUAGAUUAUUUAUAUUUUAUUUAUUAAAGCUAAAUGUGAUUAAACUGGAAAUAGGAUCCAACAAAUAAGGAAUUGAGUUUAAUGGCUAAAACAAAAGCAGUACUAAUGAGAAUAAGGAAGAGAUUCGUGUCUCCAAACUUACCUCCAUUACGUUCAAUCAUCAGUCUUCAUGAGCUGCUGCUACUUCAACUAAAAGCUGGUCUUUUUUUUGGGGGGGGGGGGGGUGGGGCAAAUAAAAGAAAAGAAAAGAAAAGAGACUGGGAGUGGGAGUGGAGAAAAGGAAAAUAGGAGGUAGCUUCUUCCUUUUCCUGUUAAAAGGAGGAGACUGGAAAUCAAACUAAAGAAGAUGAAAACAGAGGAAAGACCAGAUUUUAAUUUUUCGUGAAAAGAAAAAAUGAUGGUGAGAACGGUUGCAAUGGGAAUCUUAAACAGAGAUGAGAAAAUGCAGAGCAAAGAAACAAGGAAUACAAAGGGCCCUCAAAUACCAGGAUUCAAAUUGUAAUAUAUAUAUAUAUCAUGUGAUGUCUGAAAAUUAUUCAGAGAUAUCUAAAAAUUAUCUCAAGAUUCCUGAAAAUAUUUUAUGAGUUAGGGUUAGAGUUGACUAAAAAGGAAUACAGAGCAUGAAGGGCUGUCUUCUAUGUGAAAUUUGUAGGAGCUUUCCUUCGACAAAUAUUUUCAUAUGAAUGGCAUUUUAAUCCUUUUAUUCUAUUCUGCUAAUCACAUGGUUUCCUCUGAUUAUGGGAUUUCCCACUAAGUUUUAUAAUCAUUAAUCUCAUAAAAUUAUGAGAUUUAUUAUAAGAAACUUUGAUUUAUUAUAAGAAACUUUAUAACGUGGGAAUAUUAUAUUAUUCAUACAAUUUUUCUGACCUGAGAAAAUAUUCGUAUUUUCGAAUAUACAUUUAAAAAAUAUAAAAAGUAAUUCUUUUAUGAGUAUCACACCGUGUAGAGAUAUUCAUGAGUGAGGUCUAACUAAAAUCUUAGGCUUGAUAAACAGUUACAAGCUCAAUUCAACCUAAAAAAUAAGUUUAAAUUUUUGUCUAGACCCAAUCUAAAUUAUAUAUGCUAAACCCGAACACGACAUAAUCCAUGUAGACAACGAGCAGUCAACAGUAAUGUCACCUUGAUGAAGAGAAUUUGCACAAAGGAAGAAUAGCUUAAGAGUAAAUACUUGAUGAUCUACAAUUCUUUACUUGCUAUUUAAAAAAAAAAAAAAACUAAAUUAAUCUGUAAUAAAUAUAAAAUAUGGAAGGCUGUAACCUAUGGCAAAGUAGCCUGAGGCUAGAUUUCUUCAAAUACUGCCAUUGCAAGAACAAAAAGGUUGAAUAACAUUUUUGGGUCCGAUUGAAAACAAAGCAAACAAGAGAUAGAACCUUCCAUAAUCAGGAAUUCCACAUCCAGUGCUAAUUUCCGCUCCUGUCAAUACCGCAACCUUGGUGCUGCAACAUACAAAUAGCAGUCAAAUAUUUAACCCAUUGGAAUACAUUUACAUCCUUUAUUGUGUGGCUACAAUUACAACAGGAACAAUAUGCAAAGCCAAGGACAAGAAUAACCUGUACAAGCCCAUUUCGCCCCAAACCCAAAUAACUUAACAAAAUAACAAAACCCAAUAAUAAUAUAAAAAAACCUAUAGGCCCGAUUGGCCCAAAACCUAAACUUUUCAGCAGAAACCCUAGCCCCUGUUGCGCCGCACCUAACCUCUGCCACCACCUGCCACCGUCCCAUCGCCGCGCACCUGCUCACUGCUAUGCCACCAUCAGUCUCUGCAAAGUGAAAAGGAGCACGCAAAGCAGAAGAAAGCAGUAGCAAUGAGAGAUUUUCUUGGAUUUUUUUUUCGGCUAUAAAGCCGAAUGUGUUGUAAAAUGUAAAAGGGGGAUUUUCGGUGUAAAACCGAUUAAAAAACAAUUGUAAAAGAGAGGAUUUCAAGAAAUAAGAAGUAAAAAAAAAAACAGAUUCAAGGACUUUGCUUUCGGUAUAAGAUCUAUUCCUCUUUUAUUUAUUUAUUUAUUUUUCUUUAUUUUCCUUCUUUCUCAAACUGUUUAUAUACAUACAUAUAUUUCUUUAGUUUUUCUUUUUUUAACUAUUAUACAUAUAUAUUGAAAAAAGUUUAAAAAAAGAAAAAAAAAAGGGAAAAAAACGCACCUUUUCAACUUUCCGGCCACCGUGGACGGCGGCGCCGUCACCGGUGACCGGUGACCGGCGGCCGGCACGGCGGGGGUCGGCCCGUCCUCUGGCCGGAUUUUGGGCUGAGAAAGGGAAAGGGGAGAGAUUUUAAGAGAAGGAAAUUUUUUUUAAAAAAAGAGGGCUGAAAGUGAAGUGUUUUGAAAAAAAACUGGGUUUAAAUAGGCUUCCAAAACGACGUCGUUUUGGGCAGCCUUCUCAGGCACCAAAACGGCGCCGUUUUGAUCUGACCCGUUGGCCGACCCGACCCGCUCCUGGAGGAUCCGCGUGUUUUCGACGGAAGGGCUAAUUGCACCUUUAGCCCUUCCGGUUUUUAAUGGUUUUAUAAUAAAGUCUUUCAUUUUUUUUAAUUUGGCCCCGCGGUUUUUGCGCCUAUUCUAAUUUGGUCCUGAACGAAAUGGCGCGCUAAAGGUUGGGAAUAUUUGCUCAAUCAGCCCUCCAUUCUUCGGGCGCAUUAUUUUUUGGUCCCUCGGGACCCCUUUUUUUCGUUUAUUUGCAUUUUAAGCUCCAAAUUUCGUCUCAAAAUUCGAUUUAGCCCUUUGUUUUAUUAUUUUUAGCUAUUUUAUUAAUAACAUUGAUAAAUUAUAUAUUAUUAUGACUGUUAUUAUAGUUUGUUAUUGUUAAUAUAUUAUUGUUUGUGUUUACUUAUUUAAGUUUAAAGUGUAGGUGUCUUAUUAUAUUUAUUAUUAUAUAAUUUUUAUGUUUUAUAAUCCAUAUAUAUGUAAAUCCAUAUACGUAUUCAUAUUUUUAUUUUUAUUUUCUUUUAUAUGCUUACAUAUAUGUACAUAUUUACAUUGUUUUAUUAUAUAUAUACUUUUAUAUUUUUUAUAAUUUUAAUCAUAUUGUUAUUUACUUAUUUAUUUAAGUUCUCAUGAUUAUUUUAAGAGAAUAUUUUAUUUUUAUUUGCUUAUACAUUUGUUAUUUUGUGAAUUGUUGGUUUGUUCUUUUAUUUAUUUUAUUUUGAUUGCUAUUGCUUGUAUUAUUUUUUUAUAUACUUUUGUAUUUAUUAUGGUUUUGCCAUGCAUAUCAACAAUGUAAUUUGUUUUCACAUCCUCUUAUUACGACUUCGUGUUUCGUUUUACUCAAUAUGUCAAAACUUGUUUUAAAUAAAUGGCAUUUUGUGUUUAGAUUCGAGAGGAUCGUACCCUAACUUACUGGGUUUCGAUUUUUACGAUAAAUCUAAAUGCACGAAUUUUUCGAACUCAAAUUUCAAAACGAUCUCGGGAUUUAAAAAAGGAAAUACGUCCUAACUUACUGGUCGUGAACUCAUUUUUAAACCCGAGAUGGCUAAAAUGUCUUUUAAAUGAGUAAAAUUUUGGCAUUUUUACGUGUCGGGAAUUCGAGACAUUGUGUCCUAACUUACUGGAUAUGAUGCUUUCUUUCUCGAUUAACGUGGAAUAUACCCCUUUUAAAAAAAUUUCAUUUUAAUACAAGGAUCGUAUUUUUAAUUUUUCCAAGUUUUCAAUGUUCGACAUCAAGACAUUAGUUAAUCAACUAGGUACCAAUUUCUGGGCGUUACGAGGGUGCUAAUCCUUCCUCGUACGUAACCGACUCCCGAACCCGUUUUCUAAAUUUCGUGGACCAAAAUCGUUGUCUAAUAAAAUCAAAUUAUUUAUUAAAAACAACCCUUUUUCUAGGUGACCCAAUCACACCUCAUAAAAAGGAUUGGUGGCGACUCCCGUUUUCGUUUUCAAAACCCAAGUUGACCCCGUUUUCAUCCAAAAAAUGGUGUCAACAUAACCCUUGGUCAAUGAGUUGAUACAAGUGGUUUACGUCUUCAGCACUCGGAGGAUCUGCUAGCGGAACCACCUUCUUGUCUGAAGGUGAACAAAUGAAUAUUUUUAAAUAUAAUAACUUAAUUAAGUUUAUUUAAUAAUAUAUAACAAAGUAAUUUCCAUCUCAACAAAGUAAAGGAAAGAAAUUAGUGACAGUCAACAAAAAAUAAACCACGUGGUACCCUAUGUGGCAAAAACAUUAUACAGAAGUUAGAUUUACUUGUCACAUUAUAACCGUAGUUAAUUUUUAACGGUUAAUAUUGGUUAAAAGAUUUAUUUGACUAAUUUUUUUAGUUAAAUGUUUCAAGUGGGUCAAAAGGACUUAAUUGAGUUUUUUAAAAGGUUCUAACGCUUAUAAUACUAUUAAGCCUUCAGUUUAUCAUACCUUACUCAUCUUCAAUAUUGAUAUGGGUAUAUGAUAUUUUCGGGGUUUCCUUUAUAUUUUUCCACUCCUCCAUCAUUGGUGAAAAUGCUACGUGCAAUAUGUAGAUUGGCAAAUUAAGGGACCUAACCCCUAGCAAAUUGUAGGAAACACCCUCCCCAACCACCUUUCUGUCCCUCAAAAAAGGCAACAAAGUUCAUCAUUCUUUGGACAGAAAAUUUAAUCAUUUCAACCCCAAAAAGAAAGGGAAAAAAGGGGCUGAUAAUGAAAAAGGAAGCAAAAUGAUAGCAAGUGCUCUUCUAUGUUAAACCCAAAUUGCUAGUACCAGCUCUAUUUAUUGCAAGUACCUUGAUUCUACAAGUAAAUCUCCCUACACCUCUAAGUUUUCCCUUGAUACUUUUUUUUUUUUACUUACAAUCCAUUUGGUAGGAAAAAGUUGAAAUGUAAUGGUGGAAUUACAUUAUAACAUUGGGUUGAAGCCCAAGAAUCCUUAUCUCUUCCCUAAUUAUUGAAUGCAUAUAUGCGCAUGCAGAAAAUGGUAGGCAAAACCUAGCUAUGCCUUUGUUUUUAGUUUUCUUUUGUUUAUUUCACACUUCUUUUGAACAAGGAAAAGGGAGAAACCGACCGAAAGAAGGGAAGUGAAAAAAAAAAAAAAACUUUUUAAUCUGAUUUUAAUAUAAGGGACACAUGAUCCGAAAUUAAAGGAGAGAGUUCUUCUUUUUACAAAUUAAAAAGAAAAUCAUGAGAUGAAUAGGAAAAAAAACUUUUUUUUUUAUCUCACAUAUUUGAAAUCUAAAAAAAAUUGUUUAAAACCAUUUUUGGUACAUUUUAUAAUUAGGGAGGAGAUGAUAACAAUCAAAUUAAACCUUGGUCUGUGGAUACAACAAGGGUUUAAUCAUCGCUCCUUUAUGCCUUUAGUAUUUUUGUAUAGACUAAAAUAUGCUCUAAAUCUUUAUAUUCUCUUUUUACCUUUGAAAUUUAAUUUUUCUAAUUUUAUUUUAUGGAGCUUAGUUUUAUUUUUUUAAUUUAAAAAUGUCAAUUUAAUUGUUAACAUUAUUAAAAAAAAUUUUAAAUUUAAAUUUAUAACAACAUUUUUUUUACUGCAUGGUCAUCAAAUGAGUAUUUUUAAUUUUAAUAUCUCAUACUAAUGAAUUUGACACGAAAAUUUUAAGGCGACAUUAACAAUUAGAUUUAAAUUUUAAAUUCUAAAAAUUAUAUGGACCGAAUUCUUGAAAAAAAAUAAAUUCUAAUUUUAUGAAGAGUAGGAGAAUAAAUUUUUAACUUUUUAAUAUAUAAUUAUAAAAGUGAAACAAAAUUGACGUGGAAAAUUGAUUGAAGUCAAGAAACAAUAUCCGGAAAUUCAUGUCCCCAUACCAAACAUGUUCAGAUGAUGGAAUCUGCAAUAAUAAACUACAUUGAAAAGAGUGUAUGAAAGGCACCCCUUUUGCUGAAUAGAUUCUACACCAAUCCCAUCCCAUCCCAUCCCAUCUUUCUAUUUCUUGUGUCUUCAUGUCUCUCUCCUUUCAAUGCUACGUUGAAAAUACGGGGUGAGGUGAAAACCCUCAUCCUUUUUUCUUCUAAUUCCUGGUGAAAACCCUACAUGCAUGUCUGCAUGUCUCUCAUCCCAUCCCAUCUUUCUAUUUCCAUCUGUAGCUUAAAUAACAUUAUAAAUAUAAUUUUAAUUCUUUUUAUAAACGAUAGAUGUAGGUGUUUUCUAUGGAUUGAACAAUAAUAAAUUAAAUUAGAUGUUGUAUAACAUUUUCUUACAUCAAAUUUUAGUAAAUUAAAUUUUAUUCGAAAUAUAAAUAAAAUGUUUAAUAUAAAAAUAUACUAAUAAUAUUUUGUUUUUUUUAAAGUAUAGUAUGAAUUAAUCUUUAAAAAUGGAAUUAUUUAAAUAUUUAAUAUUAAAUUAAUUUAUAUAUUAUAAAUCAGGUAAGUCCACUUAAUUAGUGAAUGACAAAAUUAUAUAAAAAAUUAUAAAAUCAACUUUCUUAUUCAUUAUAAUGAUGAUAAAUAAUAAAUAGAUUUGAUAUAUAGGUAUAUAUAUUUUUGAAAGGAAAUAUUUCACUAAUAACUUAAAUACACAUAUAACGAAUGAUUAAAAGAAAAAAGAAAAACGAUAACUAAAAUCUCAAUCCAUACACCUAAUUCUAAGUCCUAUCUCUUUAAUUGAUCCAUAACAUGGAAAUCUUCCAUUCACAAUAAUUCACAUUAUAUGAGUUACCUUUUUAGUGCUUUUAAGACUCUAAAUGAAGUAUAUAUAAAGAUAGAAAAUGAGACUAAAGUUGGAGAUAAUCUUUAAACCAGCGUUCCAAAUUUACACACAUCAUUGUUUCGACUGUGCCCAAAUUAAGGCCUCCUUGACUGCGUAUAUUUCAGCAACUUUAGGAGCCAUCAUUGGAUUAACAUGACCCUUUUGCAUCACGGACUACAGCAGACCAGCCUGCAGCAUUAGCCUCCCUAAAUAACGUGGCAUUGAUAUUGCACUUCACCCAUUCCAUAGGCGGCUUUGACCAGCAUGAACCGACAACACCAGAAACUGCUCCAGGCUCUUGAACUUUAUCAAUAGUUCGUCAAACAUCAUUCCAAUCUUGCAUAAAAGAGACAGAAAAAGCUAGGAUAUGAGCGGUUGAAGCAUUUUUCGAUUGCCAUGCAAAAAGGUUCCUAUGGAACCAAAGACUCCACAUAAUACUUAAAGCUCAACCAACGAGUUGUUUUUAGUGAUAUAUAAUGAAUCAAAAUUGAUAUUGUGUGAAAAAAAAAUCAAAGAUAAUGCACAUACAUACCAUCUGAUUGCAUCUGCAACCAAUCUUGUGUCAAAUCAAUUCCUGUCGAAUAUCGGGAUUCAGUGAGCUACGGGUGGGGGACCUAAGAUAAUGAUACUGCCAAAGCUAAAUUGCAUUGCUCCAAUAUUGAUAGAACCUUGCUUUCAUCUUUGCUGCCAAUGAACUAAGAAAAGUAUUUGGGAUCUUGCACAAUUCAAUCAACAGUAUGUAAACAUGACAGAUUUCAGGAAAAUAUACAUUUGCAGUAGGACUUUUGUAACUAGAGAAGACAUUAAUGGUUUCAAUAAAUAGCUUGAAAUAGCCAGUAAUGGAACUUGCCCAUUCCCACUCUUCACCACUUGAAGCAAGGUCUGAAAAGUUCUUAUGAAAAACUUAAGCGAACUAUGUAGCAUUGUUGUAAACAUGUUUGCCCAGUAAAGAUGGAGCACCUACUCACCAUGUACUGACCAUAUUUCUCUUUGAUUGCAGGCAAAUUAGCAACACCAACAUUACGGUAGAGAUGAUGCAGUCCCCUAAAUUAGAGGGCUGGCAUAGUGUGUAAUCCCUCAAUAUAGAAUCCUGCCCAAUACAAUGAAAAAGAACAGACAUAUAGCUGAACAAAUCAGUACUUAGUAAAUAAACUAUGCCUGGGACGUACCAAAUAUUACUGUCAAGACAUAUAGCUCAUUUAUUUUUGUCAAAAAAAAUCAACAUAUUAAUUUAUUCAUUUCUACAAAAAUCAACCAAUGGGUAAAUUGUCCAACGUAUGUUUUAAAAUGCUUUCAGUAAAUAGCUUGAAAUAGCCAGUAAUGGAACUUGCCCAUUCCCAAUCAUCACUUGAAGCAAGGUCUGAACUUCAGAUCAAGCUCUUAUUAAAAACUUAAGCGAAUUAUGUAGCAUUGUUGUAAACAUGUUUGCCCCGUAACGAUGGAGCACCUACUCACCUUGUACUGACUAUACUUCUCUUUGAUUGCAGGCAAAUUAGCAACACCACCAUUACGGUAGAGAUGAGGCAGUCCCCUAAAUUAGAGGGCUGGCAUAGUGUGUAAUCCGUCAAUAUAGAAUCCUGCCCAAUACAAUGAAAAGGAAUAGAUAUAUAGCUGAACAAAUCAGUACUUAGUAAAUAAACUAUGCCUUGGACGUACCAAAUAUUUCUGUCAAGAUUUUAGCUUUUAAAUGCUCAUUUAUUUCUGUCAAUCAAAAUCAACAAAUUAAUUUAUUCAUUGCAACAAAAAUUAACCAAUGGGUGUUUUAAAAUGCUUUUCAAGGUAGCAAAUGCAUCAAACUCUGUACAAAAAAUAAAGAACGAGUAGAUAUUCCAUAAAAGAAGCAACUCGAUCGAUCAGACUUUGAAAAACAUAAUCAACAAAUAAGUAACAAUUAGAACUAAAAAGAAGAAUAAAAAGAACCAAAAAACCAAGGCGAGAAGAAGGGUAAAUGGUCAUGCCAUAUUUACCUAGUUAAUUAACUAGUGUUGACUGUUGGUACAAUCGACGUGAUUUAGGCACAAGAAUGAUUUUUGCAACAUUUUUCACUGAAAGGGUGAAAUUUCUUCAGCUUCUUCUUUAUACUGAGGUAGUGAGGUAGGUCUUCUCCUUUUCCAAAUUAUAUCUUCCCGUGAGGGACUGGUAUCAUUUAGCUGAGAUGCCUUCAUUUCAUAACAAAUUAAACUUCGUUGAGAAUAACAUAAAAAUAAAAUAAAAAUUACUCAAUUUCAUAUAUAUUAGAAUAACAUAAAAGAGUGUAAUUGGGAGGAUAAAUACCUGAUCAGUUUUAGCAUGCACAGUCAAUGUUAAAUAAUCUGCACUGAAACUUGUGAUCAUCUUGGAACAUUCCUUAAUGUCAAGCGAAUGUAAACAUGGGAAUUCCAGAUGAUAACCCAUAGGGCUGAAGCUCUCGAGCUUUGACAAAUUUUCAAGUUCUAUUUCCUUUAACUGAGGGAAUACCAUUUUCAUCUCCAACUGAGGACCUUGUGAUGAUGAUGAAGAUUCUAAAAUGUCAUCAUUUCCAAUUAUUUUCUUCAAGUUCACACAUGACUUUAUCUUUAGAAUGCUUAAUUGUGGUAAAUAUGGAAUGAGCGUCUCUGGAAAGAUGUAUGUCAAGUUAUUGCAGUGGUGAAUCCAUAGUUCUCUAAGAUUGAUUGCAACAUGGAUGGAACCAUUCCAUAUAUCUUGCAACCUAAUCACAUUAGAAAGCUCCAUUCUCUCUAGACUUGAGAUAAUAUUUCCACCCUGAAGCUGAAACAAUUGUUCAAAGUUCCCCAAAGUUAUAUAUUCGAAAUCUGGUGAUUUUUGUAUCAACUGAGUGUUUACCGUAUCACUCAAAUUGACAUCUUCACUGUCUAUAUCUUCCAUAAGGAAGGUCAACGCCUGCAUAAAAGUAAAUGGAAGUGUUAUUCUUUUAAGUUCUUUCAAUAUCAACCAAGUAAGUAUGGCACUCUCAUAUUUGGUUUUCUUUUUAACUUUUAAUCACAUGAAUUGACAAAUUGUGCAUUAGAGACUUUCCACUUUUCUAAGGAAAUUAGAUUUUAAUAAAAAUGAAAUACAAAACUUCUUUUUAAAAGAAAUAAAUAAAUAAAACAAAGGAAUUAAGAAAACAAAACCGAAAAGGAAAGUACCUUUAAAGAACCACACUUCUUAACUUCUUUAGGAAAAGUAAAAUUUGCAAACACUGAACAUUUCCGGAUAUGUAAAAUUUCCAAAAUUGGUGCUUCCAAAAAGUUGUUUCCUCCAACAAUACUCCUCAAGUUUCUCAAUCCAAAAAGUUCUACCUCCCGUAGAUAAGAAAAAACUCCAACUGAAGCAUGUGGGAAGACAUAUUCUAAACUGCAGCAGCUUUCAAUCUCCAAAAUUUCCAAGUUUGACAAGUAAUAUGCGUUUGAUUCUAUUCCAUCAUCCAUUCGAAAUAUCUUUGACAAAUCUUUACAAUCAGAAACUCUCAAAAUUUUGAGAUUUUGCAAGAAACACUUGGGAGAUUGGUCAUUGUACUUGAAAUCCAUCAUUGCUUGGGAUAUAUCAACCAAGCAUUCACCAUCUUGCCAGCCGUCAAUACAGAGGGAAGUUAAUCCGUCUAAAUGUUCCAAAUCUAUAAGAUCUGGGACGAGAUUUUUGUGAUCUCCAAUAUUGUAGAGAAUAAGAUCGUUUGUAUUGCAUAACAAUUCCUUGAAUACCGAUAAUCCAGUUUUCUAAUUGUAAUUCAUCACAUAAAUGAAAAUAAAUCAUUAAUUAAUUAAGGAAAGAAUAAAUUAAAUAUUAGAUUAAUAUAAUAACAUAUUGGUAUCAUAAAAAUAUAUAUAUAACACAGAUUGGCAUAAUAAUUACCAACAAGAUAUAUGAUAAUUAUACACAGCGAAUACAACUAUUUUUAUAUAUUUUUUAAGCUCAAUUUUAAGGUUGGGAGGGGCAUGGCAUGAAAAAGUUUAAUAAUUAGAAAAAUCAAAUAAAAAAUCCAGAAAAGGAAAAAAGAGUAAGAAAAGUGUACCUCUAUCGUUAACUCCAGCUGAUUGUUGGCUUGUUGAAUGGGAAUGUUUAUCACUUUAGGACAAUCAUUAGCUCCCAAUCUUUUCAAAGAUGGUGCUUUGACAAUAUAGUUUUGUGGGACAAAACUAGUAAAGUUUCGUAACCCUUUAAGUUUUAGACAUUGUAGACGUCGAAGGAGCAGGCUACCAUGGUGUUGAACUCCAUCUUGUUCAUUUGGCAUGCCGAAUACUUGCUUCAACUCAUCACACCAAGAAACCGUAAGCGAUUCAAGAGCAGGAAGACCUUGAGCCAAGGUGAUUGGCACAACAUAUUCCAGUUUUGCACACUCUUUGAUGGAAAGAGUAUUCAAUUUGGGCAGGCGGAGAGGAAGGGAAGAAGUCUUUGAUUCUAUUUCACCAUCAAUUUUCGGAUCAGCGAAAAGAGUUUUCAAUUCGUCGCAGCAUCCUAUGUUGAGUUCUUCUAAAAGCACUAGGCUUUGAAUAAGGGAAGGAGAAAAAAGGGAUUUCAACUUACAACAGUUUACAAUUCCCAGAUGUUUCAAGUUUUUGAGGAAACCUUGUGGAGGCUGACCCUUGCAUAAGGCUUCCAACCGAGGCAUCUUUGCUAUAGAUAAUGUCUCCAAAUGAGUGAAUGCGGAAGUUGGCCCAUUCUUUGUGGCAGUAGC
rnacentral:lncRNA from 1 species